AUUGUAUGGUUAAGUGACUAAGCGCACAAGGUGGAUGCCUUGGCAAUCAGAGGCGAAGAAGGACGUGCUAAUCUGCGAAAAGCUUGGAUGAGUUGAUAAGAAGCGUUUAAUCCAAGAUAUCCGAAUGGGGAAACCCGAUAGGUGAAGAACCUAUCAUCGUGACUUGAAUACAUAAAGUAACGAAGCAAACCGGGAGAACUGAAACAUCUAAGUACCCCGAGGAAAAGAAAUCAACCGAGAUUCUGUAAGUAGCGGCGAGCGAAAGCGGAAGAGCCAGUAAGUGAUAACAAUAAUAUUAG
rnacentral:rRNA from 1 species